rnacentral:lncRNA from 1 species
UUUGAAGUUAAGGUUGUGUUUGUUUAUAAGAUAUAUUUACAAAAUCAAGUAAAGGAAUUUUUAAUUUGAUAUAACAUAAAAUACACUGUUUGUUGAAUGACUUGGGUUAUUUCAAAGGAGCAAACAUUAUUUUAGAUAAGAUUUUUAUAAAAAGUUGAAUAAGUGACUUUUACAUUCAGCUGAUUAUUAAAAGGAGUAGGUUCAGUAAGACCCCUUUUUGGCCCCAAAAUAUAGCAGUUUUACAAAAUUGUUAAAAUGUAAACUUUUGGAAAGUAGACUGCUUCUGUUACAUAAACAUGGGCUGUUUUUGACAUUACAAUGCACAUAUAUUGUGUACUAGCAUCAUUAAGUGCUAAAUUACUGAAAUCUUCACAAUUUUAGCAUUUUAGUUUAAUUUUAGACGGUUUCCGUCUGAAAUGAAAGUGGCCACUUUUGUGUUCAUUCAUAUUAUUGAAAUGUAAGUUGUAUUUGAUGAUAAUACAUAACAUAUAUAAAGGUGUGAGGAUGAACACGAGAUGCGGCCACUUUCAUUUUUGGCAAAAACCAUCUAAAAAGUGACAUUUUUUGGCAUAUUUGAUAGAUUUUUCAUAUUUAAGUUUGAAUCGGAGCGUUUUUAAUGACUAAAUCAGUUUAAAAUCUUGUACAUUAACUAAUUGAAUAAUGUUUAAAAAGUGUCCAAAAUCUUUCGUCAGACUCCUUUCAUUAAUAUCUAGAAUUAUGAAACAUUUACAUACAAAUUAGACAUUUAUCAUUCUGUUGUUAUCAGCAAAUAUAAAAUUGUACUUUUUUUGUGGGAACAUAAACAAAAAACUCCACCAUCUACUUAUCAUUUGAAAAUAAAACCAGAAAUAUCAGGUAGAUUUAAAAUUUAUCAAUAAAACAUUGUUUUUUUCUAGCUGAACAACUUAAUAAAACCAUGACAUGUAUAUAUUCAGUGUACUGCUUUAUAACUAACUAUUGUAAUGUUUUAUAGGUUGGGGACUCUGUAUCCUGACCUUAGGACCUUAGGUUUGCAUCAUUGGUUAGGUCAAUAUUAUAAUUAAAAUGUUGUUGGUUUUUUUUUUGGGGGGGGGGGGGGGGGGGGGUGAUGCUGUUUCUUAAGUUUAAAUUUUUUUUUAAAUGCAAUUUUCUGUUGAAAAAUAUUACAUUAUUUGUUAAUAAAGGAUUACUCUAAGGAUUUUUAUGAUAACUCAAUAACAUUAAAUUUAAAAAAAAACUUCAAUGGUCAAUACACCGUCUUCAACAGCAGAUCAUUAGAAAUUUCUUAACUUAUGUUCCAUGAUUCUUUCUGUAUAUCUUGAUUCAAUAUGUUUGUACUAAAAUAGUAUGCCUGUAGGGAGAAGUUGUUGGGAACAAACAGGGAUCUAUUAUUAGUUUUUAUUUGACCUCAGAUUUUAUUAAUCUGACUGUUACUUGAUCUCAGUUUGUUGAUUAUAAGUGAAAUAGUAUAUGACCUGUUAACAAUUUUAUAGAGAGGGAUCUUUUUUAUAAAUGUAGAUUUGAUUAUUUUAGAUUUUUUACUCCAUUGUAAAUAUUGUCCAUACACAUGAAAAUAGGAAUGAUAAUGUUUAAUAUUUAAAUUGUACAUAGAUAAUAUAUUAUAUGUAAAUGAAAAGUGUAUAUAGAUCAACAAAGAUAUAUAUGUUUUAAA